UACGAAUGGGGCAAGCGUUGUUCGGAAUCACUGGGCUUAAAGCGUGCGUAGGCGGAUUUGCAAGUCAGAAGUGAAAUCCCAGGGCUUAACCCUGGAAUUGCUUUUGAAACUGCAAGUCUAGAAUCUUGAAGAGGUUAGCAGAAUUCCGAGUGUAGAGGUGAAAUUCGACAGAUAUUCGGAGGAAUACCAAUGGCGUAGGCAGCUAACUGGGCAAGUAUUGACGCUGAGGCACGAAAGCGUGGGGAGCAAACAGGG
rnacentral:rRNA from 1 species